ACAGUUCAACUCCAAAGCUAUGAAUGACUGCAGAACUGCAAACGCCUAGUGUUCUUGUACAUGAAGAGGCAGGACUGAGAUACGUUAGGGACACUGCUUGGUCCGUUUUAGGACUUUUGCCAACGUCGAAAUAACUUUUGGUCAACAAUGAAUAAUUCAACCAACUUGUUCCUGUGCUCGCGCAAACCAGAAAUCUCCUGCACUACUUAUAAUAAUGGAUUUCGUUGGAUGAGACGGAUGUGUCAUGAGACCGAGAAUUGACAGAAGACCACAUGGUGGUGGCCGUGGCUGUGUGCUGACCGACCAGCAGGAGUGGGCAGUGGUGAAAAUGGCGAGGGCCAGGAAUGUCCGAAAUAAAGCAUGCCAUUGAGGAGAAACGAUGACACCGUUGUAAAUGUGAUAUCCAGUAGCCAGUGUCCAGACCUGAACCCAAUAGAAAAUCUUUGGAGGGAGCUGAACCUCCGUAUUGCCCAGCGACAGCCCAGAAACCUGAAGGAUCUGGAGAAGGUCUGUAUGGAGGAGUGGGCCAAAAUCCCUGCUGCAGUGUGUGCAAACCUGGUCAAGAACUACAGGAAACGUAUGAUCUCUGUAAUUGCAAACAAAGGUUUCUGUACCAAAUAUUAAGUUCUGCUUUUCUGAUGUAUCAAAUUCUUAUGUCAUGCAAUAAAAUGCAAAUUAAUUUCUUAAAAAUCAUACAA